GAGAACUCUGUUGAGGCACUUCUUACAGUAGAAGCCACAAAUAGACUUAAAACAUACACCACAAUGAAAAACUGGGGACAGAAUUUUCAGAGUUGGUAAUUAAUUAAAAGUUGCUUCUUCCUUCUCAGCUCCUAUUUGAGAAAUUUAUCAGUUUAAGUGUUGCAUGGCCCACAAUUUCUGCUUUCUGAUAGAAGAUUUUAUUAAAUCAAUAAUGAAAUAUAUAUAAAUUUCAGCUCCAUAAUCCUACCAAUUUUUAAUUUGGUACAAUCAGAAAAAAACACAGCCCUGCUCAGUUCACCAGUGCCAAGCUGGAAGUCCUCACAGCUCUCAGCAGUGCCUGGUGAGGUGCAGGUGACCCUGACCCAAGGAGACAGAACGAGCUCCUCCAGGAAGCAAAAUGCAGCUCCCCAUGCCCUGAGCAGCAGCUCCCACAGCCACUGGCACAUCUCAGCAAGUAUACCACAGGAUGAUGAUAAUGAAAGGGCUUUUUGUGAAUCUGUUUUAUAUUUGUCUCACUUGCCUGUGUCUAAUCUUACUCCUUCCCAACAGAGGCAGGAGGACUGGGCUCUUAUGGGAGAACCCAGUGUCUCUGUUUUCCCAUCCCUCUGACUCUGGGGAGUGUUUGAAAUCCAGUGGUAAGCUCUAGACUGGGGUAUUUUUUGAAGGAAACAAUCAAAGCAUUAGAAGUAGUUUAAACAAAUCAUUUAAUGCCAAAUACCAUAUUUGAACUAAGGUAAACUGUGUAAGGAUUUAUUUUUUUGUUAUGCUGGCAUCAUGGUGGGAUGGAUUUUUACACACUUCCAAAGAGCUUUGCAAAACAUCCUCCAAGGAAAAUGUUAGGAACAGAAGGUGGUAGGGUAAUUCCAGUAGCUUGUAACUUCUCUGAGUACCCUCACAUUAGCAAUCUAUCUGGUUUUGUAGCUCUUUUACAAAGAGCUUUGUUGACUGCACUGAAUACAAAAAAAAUUAUAUUGCACGUUCCUUAUGCAUGUACAUAUCCACCCCCUGGUGGAUAAAGCUGCUGCAAACAAAUACCCUAUAACUUUCUUGAACAAGUAAACCUGCAGCAAUUCUUUCUCCCUCUGUUAUCUCAAUACAGACUUUUAUAAGACUUGUUUCAGGCUUGUCAAUGUAGAUGUCCUUUCUGAUUAAAGGAAAAUAUUUUAGAUGGUAGUUCUCUGCAUUCAAAUCCUGCUGUUAAUUUACAACUGUUUUUUUUUUUUUUUUUCCUAAAGACAAGGAGAAGAUAAGGAAGGGACAAGGAAAGAUGGCUUAAAAAUCAGGUAACAUGAUGAGAAUAGGAUAGAGUAUUGUUAAAUAAAUUAAACAGCAAUAGACUGAUAUAUAUUGGGAGAAACAUGUUGACUCACAUUUUCUGACCAGUGUGAGGAAGUGCUAGAAAGAGCCAGGCUGUGAACUUUCUGGAUUCCCAUGUGUUAAUGGAAUUCUGAAAAAUUUUACUGUAGUUACACAGAUGGCCACUGAAUUUUUGGUUUGAUUACCAUUAAACACAAUAUAACUACUACAGAAUGUUAACCUGCAUCAGCUUCUCUUCAACAUUACUGCACUUGUGAGAUCCUGAACUUUAGAGCUCUGUUAGACAUGACGGACCCAAGUCAAGGAGCACUGCUUCUUCUCUGACUAUAGGUCCCACCAGCAGGCCCUAUCCUUCACAAACUCAACUCCCAGUGGACAGAACUGAAACGAAGUCAGGACUGUUAAGGCCUUGAGUCCCUCACCACGCAAUGUUGCCUUUCAGGGAUUGCUCUGCCUGUGCUCGAGGCCCACUCUGACACAGCACAACUUGGUGACCUGAACCAGCCUGCUGUGAAAGCUGUAAGUCCUGCCCUCCUCCCCUGGCUGGGGUCGUGCCAGACUGCCCCUGCCACUACCCUGCUGGCACUCAGAGCUCCCAGAUUACCCUGUCCUUGCUGCACCCUGAUUGAUGCAGAUGCACACAGUCACCUUCCAGAAAGCUUCAAGUCUGGGAAUACAGCCAAUGAUAAACAAAACCAGAAAAUAUAUUCUCCCUUGCAUGCACCUAAAUGCAUGUGUGCUCACCCCAUGGUCUGUGAUAAGUUCCAGGAAUAAGCCCAUGGGUAAAGAUAAUCAAGGUUUAUGGAAGAGUAAGAAAUGGUAUUGUAUGAUGGGACAAAUAGGAGAGAUUGCAUCUUUUAUAGAGCAUUGAUCAACCUUCAAACCUAGAAACUGACAGUCUGAAAGUGAGGUAGGUCUAUUUGCCUCUGAUUACAGAGUGUCCCUGGCCCUGUUACCUGGCUGAGAGAAAUCAGUGCGUUCUCUCCUUGCAGUUUGGGGGCACUGCUAAAUGAUGUUGUGUGGCAGUCUCUGCAGAGACCUUGAAGAUUGAUGGGGUGGUGGAGCCUGGGACUGUGUUGAGUCUGCAACCAUAGGAAGCCUGUCUGCCUGCCUUGCAGUAUUACUCUUCCUCCAUUAAACCAGAAUCUAAGGCACUAAUUAAAAGUGUAUGUCUUCAUUAUUUGAUUUAAAGUAUUUGGAGGACAAGAUCUGAACCUAAAAAGUAAACAUAUUUUCUCAAUAUGCUCUUCUUCUAAUUGUUCAAUAUAGCAUUUUUACUACAUCAUCUGUCAGGGAAUAGUAAUAAAUAUGCACAUAAUUUGUA